UACAUGGGGUGCAAACGUUGCUCGGAAUCAUUGGGCGUAAAGCGCGCGUAGGCGGUUACUUAAGUUGGAUGUGAAAGCCCUCGGCUUAACCGAGGAACUGCGUCUGAUACUGGAUGGCUUGAGUUCGGGAGAGGGAUGCGGAAUUCCAGGUGUAGCGGUGAAAUGCGUUGAUAUCCACAGGAACUCCGGUGGCGAAGGCGGCACGCUGGACCCCACCUGACGCUGAGGCGCGAAAGCCAGGGGAGCGAACGGGG
rnacentral:rRNA from 1 species